rnacentral:rRNA from 4 species
AUUGAACGCUGGCGGCAGGCCUAACACAUGCAAGUCGAGCGCGAAAACACUUCGGUGUGAGUAGAGCGGCGGACGGGUGAGUAAUGCUUGGGAAUCUGCCCAGUAGUGGGGGAUAACGUGUGGAAACGCACGCUAAUACCGCAUACGUCCUACGGGAGAAAGCAGGGGAUCUUCGGACCUUGCGCUAUUGGAUGAGCCCAAGUCGGAUUAGCUAGUUGGUGGGGUAAUGGCCUACCAAGGCGACGAUCCGUAGCUGGUCUGAGAGGAUGAUCAGCCACACUGGGACUGAGACACGGCCCAGACUCCUACGGGAGGCAGCAGUGGGGAAUAUUGCACAAUGGGCGAAAGCCUGAUGCAGCCAUGCCGCGUGUGUGAAGAAGGCUCUAGGGUUGUAAAGCACUUUCAGUAGGGAGGAAAAGCUUAAGGUUAAUAACCUUGAGCCCUGACGUUACCUACAGAAGAAGCACCGGCAAACUCCGUGCCAGCAGCCGCGGUAAUACGGAGGGUGCGAGCGUUAAUCGGAAUUACUGGGCGUAAAGCGCGCGUAGGUGGUUUGAUAAGCUAGCUGUGAAAGCCCCGGGCUCAACCUGGGAACUGCAGUUAGAACUGUCUGACUAGAGUACAGUAGAGGGUGGCGGAAUUUCCUGUGUAGCGGUGAAAUGCGUAGAUAUAGGAAGGAACAUCAGUGGCGAAGGCGGCCACCUGGACUGAUACUGACACUGAG